GUGGGGAAUUUUGGACAAUGGGCGCAAGCCUGAUCCAGCCAUUCCGCGUGCAGGAUGAAGGCCUUCGGGUUGUAAACUGCUUUUGUACGGAACGAAAAGCCUCUGGUUAAUACCCGGGGGUCAUGACGGUACCGUAAGAAUAAGCACCGGCAAACUACGUGCCAGCAGCCGCGGUAAUACGUAGGGUGCGAGCGUUAAUCGGAAUUACUGGGCGUAAAGCGUGCGCAGGCGGUGAUGUAAGACAGUUGUGAAAUCCCCGGGCUCAACCUGGGAACUGCAUCUGUGACUGCAUUGCUGGAGUGCGGCAGAGGGGGAUGGAAUUCCGCGUGUAGCAGUGAAAUGCGUAGAUAUGCGGAGGAACACCGAUGGCGAAGGCAAUCCCCUGGGCCUGCACUGACGCUCAUGCACGAAAGCGUGGGGAGCAAACAGGAUUAGAAACCCGUGUAGUCC
rnacentral:rRNA from 1 species